rnacentral:rRNA from 1 species
AUUGAACGCUGGCGGCAGGCCUUACACAUGCAAGUCGAACGAGUGGCGGACGGGUGAGUAAUGUCUGGGAAACUGCCUGAUGGAGGGGGAUAACUACUGGAAACGGUAGCUAAUACCGCAUACCAUCGGAUGUGCCAAGAUGGGAUUAGCUAGUAGGUGGGGUAAAGGAUCACCUAGGCGACGAUCCCUAGCUGGUCUGAGAGGAUGACCAGCCACACUGGAACUGAGACACGGCCCAGACUCCUACGGGAGGCAGCAGUGGGGAAUAUUGGACAAUGGGCGAAAGCCUGAUGCAGCCAUCCCGCGUGUAGGAAGAAGGCCUUCGGGUUGUAAAGUACUUUCAGCAGAGAAGCGUUACCUGCAGAAGAAGCACCGGCUAACUCCGUGCCAGCAGCCGCGGUAAUUC